AACGCAACUUGCACCCUUUGGUAUUCCGAAGGGUAUGUCUGUUUGAGUGUCAUUAAAUCUAUCAACUUCUUAAAGUCUCAUAUCUUUUUGAGGUUUGGAUAAUGGAGGUCUGUUGGUCGCAGUAAAGUGAUUGACUCCUCUGAAAUAUAUUAGCUAGGAUUGUUUCUUAAGCUUAUUGGUGUGAUAAUUAUCAUCGCCAAGUGGCUUUUCAAGUUAAAUCCUGCUUAUAAUGGAGCCUUCUAGUUUUUAGAGGCUUAUAUUAUGACAGUUGUGACCUCAAAUCAGGCAGGACUACCCGCUGAACUUAA
rnacentral:misc_RNA from 1 species